rnacentral:rRNA from 1 species
UACGGGGGGGGGCAAGCGUUGCUCGGAAUCACUGGGCGUAAAGCGCACGUAGGCGGAUCUUUAAGUCAGGGGUGAAAUCCCAAGGCUCAACCUUGGAACUGCCUUUGAUACUGGGGAUCUCGAGUCCGGAAGAGGUUGGUGGAACUGCGAGUGUAGAGGUGAAAUUCGUAGAUAUUCGCAAGAACACCAGUGGCGAAGGCGGCCAACUGGUCCGGUACUGACGCUGAGGUGCGAAAGCGUGGGGAGCAAACAGGG